UAGUGGCGAACGGGUGAGUAACACGUGGGCAAUCUGCCCUUCACUCUGGGACAAGCCCUGGAAACGGGGUCUAAUACCGGAUAACACUCCUCAGAGCAUUCUGGGGGGUUAAAAGCUCCGGCGGUGAAGGAUGAGCCCGCGGCCUAUCAGCUUGUUGGUGGGGUAAUGGCCUACCAAGGCGACGACGGGUAGCCGGCCUGAGAGGGCGACCGGCCACACUGGGACUGAGACACGGCCCAGACUCCUACGGGAGGCAGCAGUGGGGAAUAUUGCACAAUGGGCGAAAGCCUGAUGCAGCGACGCCGCGUGAGGGAUGACGGCCUUCGGGUUGUAAACCUCUUUCAGCAGGGAAGAAGCGAAAGUGACGGUACCUGCAGAAGAAGCGCCGGCUAACUACGUGCCAGCAGCCGCGGUAAUACGUAGGGCGCAAGCGUUGUCCGGAAUUAUUGGGCGUAAAGAGCUCGUAGGCGGCUUGUCACGUCGGAUGUGAAAGCCCGGGGC
rnacentral:rRNA from 1 species